rnacentral:lncRNA from 1 species
AGAUAUGGAUGUUGUUUCAAAAGUUUGCAACUUUGAUGAAACAACACCAUUUCACCAUAAAACACAAUGUUUCAUAUAUGACACUAUUUCAUGAAAAGAUAUGAAAUUGAAUUCAAAUUCAACAAAACAAUAACUAAAAAUUGAAUUCAAAGCUUAAAUGCUAUUUAACUCUUUUGUCAUUUGGAACUAAUAUUGCAAAACAUUUCCAACAAUCCCCACUAGUUCUAAUAAUGACAAAAAUCAUUCCAGAUAGUGAAUAUAAAAAGUGUUAAUACAGUUAGUAUCUUUCGAUUUAACUAACCUUAUGAGGUUAAACGCAAAGUAAUCGGAUGUUGGUAGCAAAGCUUUUAAACCAUUAAUCCAUGGAUCAGACCGGCGCUUACCUUACACACACUCUUUAAAGGUUCUUCCUUUUCAUAUCUCGCUUGACCUUAUUUAUGCCAUAUGCUACCUUUUCACUAAUUUUUCAUAGGAGAAACUCCAACUCUCACUUUGAGACGGCACCAUCUAAAUUCACAUAGGUGAGGUUCAUAUAGCUCCUUUCCAAUAGUACUCUUCUUCGUUAAUGAACUUCAUUAAGAGGUUUUGGAAACUCAACCCUCAAUUCAACACCAGAACCUUAUUUCCCAAUCUUGACUUACAUCCAAUUCAACGACUUGUGUUACCCAUUGAUCUUGAAGUUAAUGUUUUCGUUAACAUAAGAUUGGGUUGCUGCUGUUGUCGGAACUUUUAUUUAAGAGUUUAACCCCAUUCCUCUCGAGUUGUUCGUACUAAGUCUCUGGCCAGUGGCUUUAAAACGGAUUGCUAAGUUAUAGCAUGUGUCGUAUGUAGGUGAGUGAAAUGAUUCCAUCCUUAAUCAAUUUUCUUACGAACGAAUGUCUAAGUCUACUAUGUUAUGACUUUCCAUUAUACACUUCGCUGAAUGUCUUUGCUAAUGUGGCUUGCUAUCGAAUGUAUCAUCACUUUGAGACAUUGUCUUUAGCCAAUGGAACUUCCAAACAGAAGAUCCUCAACCAUUCGCUUCUUGACGCGCGAGAAGCGAGAGCCAACAAACCUGAUUCCAUGGUCGAAAGUGUAAUGCAUUUGUUCUGCUCUUCCAAGAAAUUGCUCCACCAGCCAAGUGUAAUAUCCAUCCAGUUGUAGUUUAUGGUCUCCAAUAUUAGAUAUCCAACUCCGCAUCAGUGUAUCCUUCUAAUAUGGCAGGGAACCUUCCAUAGUGAAGACCAGGUCCUUGGUUUCAGUAGAUAGCCAAAAAUCCUUGUAAUUGCCUUCCAAUGUUCAUUACUUGGAUACUAUAAAUCGACUCAUUUUUUACUGACUGCAAUGAUAUGUCGGUCUGGUACAUUGCAAUUAGGUACAUUAGACACCCUAUUGCACUUGCAUAUUCAAUUGAGCCACUGAUCUUCCAUUAUUUUUGAAGUUUGUUGGCAUGAUCAAAUGGAGUGGUUACUUCCUUAAUAGUUUAGAUGUUUAACUUAUCAAGCAUUUCUCAUAUAGUGGGUUUGACUAAGUCAUAACCCCAUAUUCACUUUACUUUAAUCCCAAAAUGGUUUUUAUGUCCAACUAGUCCAAGACCAUCAUCUUGAAUAUGAAAGUGAAUCUCUUGUUUAAAAUUCCAUUCUCUUGAUAAUGAUCAAUCAUAUAAUCAAUAUGAAUACGAGUAAUAUCACAAUAUUUCUCACACAACUUUGUGUACAAACACUUUAAAAGAUUAGAUGAAUAAUAUUUUUAGAUAAUCAUGCACUGAUGAUGUAAGAAGGUUAGAUGAAGUGAGAAAAAUUAUGAGCAAUUUAAAUUAGUAUAAAUUUCACGAGAGUCUUAGUUAUGCUCAAUUGUCUCAAAUCUUCACUUAAUUCUAUGUUCAACUUCUUAGUCAACUUCAUCAUUGAUGUGCAUGAACCUUUUGAACCUUUUCUCCUUUGAUAAUCUUUGUCUUCAUCAAAUUAAACUAGAUAUAAGAUUUAUUCCUAACAAUCCCCCCUUUGAUGAUGACAAAUAUUGUCUCCUCUUAAUGUGUGUUCCCCUAAUUAAUUGGGAAUCUUAUAUGCAUUGGUCAAACUUUUGAUGUCAUUGUUUCGGCUGCUUGUUGAAUUCGAUACAAGGAUUCUCAAACUUGCCCACCUUUUUUUCAUUUCGACAUAACUUCUAGCAGCUCCAUAUAAAUCCCUCAUCGAGAUUUCUAUUUAUGAAUGUUAUUUUGACAUUCAUUUUAGGAACUAUACGGUAUGCAAAGAAGCUAAUGCAAACGAUGCACUAAUUUUGUUUGCCCUUGCUAACACUGUGCAUAUGUAUCAAAUGAUAAAUACCUUCUUUUGUUAAAAACACCAUGGUCAUUAAUCUAGACUGUGUAGUGUUCAGUGUACCAUCACACUAUGAUUACUUCCUUCUAAACAAGAGUAAUAGGAAUCUUACGAAACAAAUUCUUACUAUUUCCUUAAAUUAGAUCAAAGAAAUAAAUUGACUAUCAAAUUUUGUUCGGUGGCUCGAUCCUUAGUCUUUCGGUCUCUCUUGAUUAUUCUAAGUUCGAGUUAUUUCAACAAAUCCAUGAAGAAUCUCCUCACAAGAUUUUCAUGUAGUGACGAAACUUUCAGUUUGUGUUUUUCCAAUCCGUGGAGAACCUUCCUCACGAGAUUCUUCUUUUGUGGAAAUCUCAAAAUUUUAUCCUCUGUGAUAAGUUCUCAAAAUUCCACAUCUCAUGAUUCAAUAGUGAAAUUUUUAACUCUAAAUUCAGAAGUCUUUAUAAGUCAUGCAUUUUCGGAUAAUCAUUAUAUUAUAUGUGUAAUUAUAAUCAUGCCUAUAAACAAAAAAAAUAGAGUUCUGCAUUUUUAAUAAAUCACAAUUCAUAUAUUACGUACAUGUAUCACCAAUUAUUAUUCAAUAUCCAAAGCUUAACUAUACACUCCAGAACAUUUAUUAUUGGAUCGUGGUACAUACAUUACUUAACAUAACUUUCUUAUUUAAUAUUAUGUAUAGUGUAAUAUAUAUAACACAUAUGCACUAGAUAGUUAACGGAUUACAAUCGUGAACAUUCAUAACACCAUACACCAUUCAAUUAAAAUUCAUAUCCAAACAUAUGAUACAUAAAAUUCUGUCUGAUAAUUAAACUAAAAUAUAGUAUUAAUAUUAUAAAAGAAUAUCAUCAAUACGCAGAUGCAUGGCGGGAUAUGUUUCAAACAGUAUGGCAUAAAUGAUUUACAACAUAUACCAUACUAUUACUAAAUCUUUUUAAAGCAUGGUAUAUUAUAAAAGUUCAUAUAAUCAUAUAUAAUAUCAAUUAAUUCAAAAUAUUUUCAUAUUAUUUAUGCAUUAUCGAAAAUAUAAAAUCAUGAACUUUUGGUAUGAUAUUAACGAUAAAUUCUUUUUCUUUAUAUUUAGGAUAUUGAUAUUAUGAUUUUACAAUGUUUCUAUUUCUAUAAAGAAUAAUAAAAACGUACUCGUAUUCAUGAUGUAAAAUCUUCUUGUAUUCAGAAUGUGUCCAUGACAUGACUGGUUAUUCUUUGAUGCUUGAAUAUAAGUCCCGGUUGCCAUUAUUCAAAUACUUUUUAAGAUUGUUAGUAAGUUCGGUAAAUUAAAUGGAUCCAGGACUGAUCGUGAUUGAGAAAUCACUUUCCUUAAAAGUAUUUCAAGCACUCUUUUAUUAUGUCUUAGAGUUGGAAAAUGCAAGAACACUCGGAUAUGUCAGCCUUAUUUCGAGUCUGCACAAGACAAGUGAAGAACCCGAAAUGCAAGGAAGGUUUUUCUGGAAUUUGGAAGAGAAAUACGUUUUAGUUCUUGUUUUUAUUUUUCUGAAUAGAAUCAUAUAUUUAUAGGAGAUAUGGAUGUUGUUUCAAAAGUUUGCAACCUUUGAUGAAACAACACAUUUCACCAUAAAACACAAUGUUAUAUAUGACACUAUUUCAUGAAAAGAUAUGAAAAUUGAAUUCAAAAUUCAAACAAAACAAUAACUAAAAAAUUGAAUUCAAAGCAUUAAAUGCUAUUUAACUCUUUUGUCAUUUUGGAACUAAUAUUGCAAAACAAUUUCCAACAA